rnacentral:rRNA from 1 species
AAUCUUGCGCAAUGGGCGAAAGCCUGACGCAGCCAUGCCGCGUGAAUGAUGAAGUUCUUAGGAUUGUAAAAUUCUUUCACCUGGGACGAUAAUGACGGUACCCGGAUAAGACGCCCCUGCCAACUUCGUGCCAGCCGCCGCGGUACUACGAAGGGGGCGAGCGUUGCUCGGAAUUACUGGGCGUAAAGGGCGCGUAGGCGGACAUUUAAGUUAGGGGUGAAAUCCCAGAGAUAAACUCUGGGACUGCCUUUGAUACUGGGUGUCUUGAGUGUGAGAGAGGUAUGUGGAACUCCGAGUGUAGAGGUGAAAUUCGUAGAUAUUCGGAAGAACACCAGUGGCGAAGGCGACAUACUGGCUCAUUACUGACGCUGAGGCGCGAAAGCGUGGGGAGCAAACA